rnacentral:misc_RNA from 1 species
GAAGUUUCAAUAGUUAUGAAGUCCAAGAUAUCCAUUUAUUGAGUAUUUGCUUACAUCCAAAUCUUAAAUAAUUAGAUUUUUCCAACUCUCUUCGUGCCAUAUCCAAUCCUUAGUGACCCAAAUGCAACCCAAGAUAAGUUGCCUAAUCAAACUACUGACUUGAACUAGAAUAUUAUAGGCUAUAGCAUCCCAUAUUGGAAACCUAAGGAUGUAUAAUAUUGUUCUCGAUAUUCCACUUGAGGCUCCAGUGGCGACUCGCACACUUAUAAGCCCAAUAUGCCCAUCCAAAAGUGGCUCGCCCAUAAACUUCCUGUUGAGCUUUAGCAAACUUUUGGUAAUCUUCCUUUGAUGCUCCCUUUACAUUCCAUUCUGCAGUCCAUUCCCCUGCAAAAAAUUCCAUCAUACAAUCGACCACAAAACUAGCCCAAUGGUUUCUUGCUGGAAUUUGCUGGUUAUAGCAUAAAUCUAUUUCGUCUAUAUAGUUAAAAUAUAGAUAUGAUUUUGGAGUUACCAACAAAACUGAGGGGACCAUUUGUAGUGGUCACUUUCCUGAGAUCGUUAGAACGCGAAUUAUAGAUGAAAUCAAUAUUCUGUUGUACGCUCAUUUUCGUGAAACCAUCCCAAAACAGGUUGUAGUAAUGCACAUCAAUGGCUACAAGAUUAAGGGUGCUUGCAAACGAGAGCAAUUCAGUUGGAUCAGCAGGUCCUAGCCUGUUUGAAAGAAUCACAUAAGCAGUUUGAGUGUACUUCCUGACAGCUUCAUAAGCUGCUUGAUAAUACUUUGUAAGAGUGUCUAGACUGAUGCCUGGGGCCUGAGGCUCAUUCAUCAAUGCUAUUGCUGCAAGACUUGGCCUGUUUGCAUAUCUUGCCGCUAGGAAGUCAAUUACAGCUACUGUAUCUUGUAUGUAGGAAUCUCCCCAUUCCUGAAAGCCAUCCCUUGCUGCACUGUGUUCAUUCCCAUUUUGUGAACCCUGAGCUGCAUGCAAAUCAACAAUUACCUUUAUCCCGUAUUUCUCUGCCCAAGUGAAAGCAUUAUCUAAGGCUUUUAAGGAUCCCCCAACAAAAGGUUUUGGUGGUGUUGGAUCGUGUGCUAUCCACCAUCCAACUGGAAUUCUCACAGCACUUAUAUUAUUUGAUGACAGGAAGUUGAAAUCCUCGCUUUUGAUGUAAGUGUUCCAGUGAUCUUGUAGAACUUUAGGUGCUUUAUCUGGGCCAUAACCAUUUGUGAUUUGGUAUUCACCUUGUAAAGUUCUGACAAUGUUGAUUAUAAAGACAGAUGGAUCACUGUCUUCCCAACCAGAAACAGAGCCUCCAUAAUCUGCAGUCACCAAUGUCUCUGACUGUGCCUGAAGGAGUUGGCCAUUUGAUGCUUGAAAGCGAACUCGAGUAGGAUCAUUAGUAUUCCUUAUAAUGUGAAAUGUUUCAGGGUCUCCAGCAGUAUUUGAAACAGCUACUAGUUUGUUUCCUUGAGUUUCCAAUCCCACAAACUGCUUGUUCAGCACCCUCAAAUUGAAAUAUGUGUCAUUGAUCCUCCACAAUCUGAAAGUUUCCCAGUCAGAAGGAAUGGAGCGAUUGGCUACAAGCGAGGUUCCACCUCCAUUUUCUGCACAGAGAUACUUCUGCAGCUUUGUAGACUUCAACUGGACAUGAGUUCCAUCCUACCAAAUGGUGAAAAAAUAACGCAACAAAAUAAAACUUCCACAGAAAACUUCAACACUAAGAGACUACUACCAACAGACCCAAAAAAUGAAUUCAUGAGUGGUUGAUGGUAAAUACAAAACUGGAACUAGGUACCAGAAGAUCUUUGUUAAUGAUUCCAUCAAAGAUAGAAGGAUUCAUCCAGCCUUCGGUGACAAGCCAAUUUCCUAAGUUCACAGCUUUAAAUGGCUGUGCCUGGGAAAAUGUGAUGUAAAAAGCAAGAAGAAGGUAAAGGCAAGAAGCCAUUUUUUUUUGGUGAGAAAUGAAAAAGGUU